UAGGGAAUCUUCCGCAAUGGACGCAAGUCUGACGGAGCAACGCCGCGUGAGUGAAGAAGGAUUUCGGUUCGUAAAACUCUGUUGUUAGAGAAGAACAGCGCAUAGAGUAACUGUUAUGCGUGUGACGGUAUCUAACCAGAAAGCCACGGCUAACUACGUGCCAGCAGCCGCGGUAAUACGUAGGUCCCGAGCGUUGUCCGGAUUUAUUGGGCGUAAAGCGAGCGCAGGCGGUCAAUUAAGUCUGAUGUGAAAGCCCCCGGCUCAACCGGGGAGGGUCAUUGGAAACUGGUUGACUUGAGUGCAGAAGAGGAGAGUGGAAUUCCAUGUGUAGCGGUAAAGUGCGUAGGUAUAUGGAGGAACACCAGUGGCGAAGGCGACUCUCUGGUCUGUAACUGACGCUGAGGCUCGAAAGCGUGGGUAGCAAACAGG
rnacentral:rRNA from 1 species